UUAAAACACGUGACUUUCUUACUAGUAGGGUUUAAAUAACAUAGUAACUAAGAAAUCAGAACCCUCACAGGACACUGGAGAAAAUCUGAAUUCUUACUCUUCAACAAAGAAAAUCAAAAGGAAAAAGAUGUUGAGGCUGUCACUGAUCAGCCUGCUCCUCCUGUCUGUUGGCAGCGAUCUGGAAAAGUCAGCUAUUACAGCAGCACAGAGCACACCUUCUACGGCAGUCCCAAGCCUCAGUACCAAACCAAGCCUGAACGCCAGGACCAGUCUGCAUGCUGAGACGACCCCGAGGCCCGGGACGCUGACGUACAGUUCCAAGAUGCCGACUCCCGGGCCCAGUUCGCUGACCCUGAGUCCCAGGAAGCCGACGCACAGCCCCAAGAUGCCGAUCCUGAGGCCCAGUUCGCCGAUCUCGAGGCCCAGAUCGCCGACCCCAAGGCCCGGGAAGCCGACUCACAGCGCCACAACCCCAAGGCAGCAAUCAGCAGUGACCUCAAAGACAGCCACAACUCUGACGACUCAGAGAAAUGGUUGCACCAAGCUCAAGCCAAUGGAAAAUUUGCAUUUUCUUUUCUAUGUAAUGUUUUUGUUGUUUUGUGUGUACUCAGGCUAAGGGGCAAAUCAACUGCCUACAUAAUUCUAUGCUGAAUGACAAGCAUACCAGAAAAUAAAAUUUUUUUCAACUUACUA